GAGUUUGAUCCUGGCUCAGGAUGAACGCUGACAGAAUGCUUAACACAUGCAAGUCUACUUGAAUUUGGGUUUUUAACUUAGGUUUGGGUGGCGGACGGGUGAGUAACGCGUAAAGAACUUGCCUCACAGCUAGGGACAACAUUUAGAAAUGAAUGCUAAUACCUAAUAUUAUGAUAAUAGGGCAUCCUAUAAUUAUGAAAGCUAUAUGCGCUGUGAGAGAGCUUUGCGUCCCAUUAGCUAGUUGGAGAGGUAACGGCUCACCAAGGCGAUGAUGGGUAGCCGGCCUGAGAGGGUGAUCGGCCACAAGGGGACUGAGACACGGCCCUUACUCCUACGGGAGGCAGCAGUGGGGAAUAUUGGACAAUGGACCAAGAGUCUGAUCCAGCAAUUCUGUGUGCACGAUGAAGUUUUUCGGAAUGUAAAGUGCUUUCAGUUGGGAAGAAAAAAAUGACGGUACCAACAGAAGAAGUGACGGCUAAAUACGUGCCAGCAGCCGCGGUAAUACGUAUGUCACGAGCGUUAUCCGGAUUUAUUGGGCGUAAAGCGCGUCUAGGUGGUUAUAUAAGUCUGAUGUGAAAAUGCAGGGCUCAACUCUGUAUUGCGUUGGAAACUGUAUAACUAGAGUACUGGAGAGGUAAGCGGAACUACAAGUGUAGAGGUGAAAUUCGUAGAUAUUUGUAGGAAUGCCGAUGGGGAAGCCAGCUUACUGGACAGAUACUGACGCUGAAGCGCGAAAGCGUGGGUAGCAAACAGGAUUAGAUACCCUGGUAGUCCACGCUGUAAACGAUGAUUACUAGGUGUUGGGGGUCGAACCUCAGCGCCCAAGCAAACGCGAUAAGUAAUCCGCCUGGGGAGUACGUACGCAAGUAUGAAACUCAAAGGAAUUGACGGGGACCCGCACAAGCGGUGGAGCAUGUGGUUUAA
rnacentral:rRNA from 1 species